GAACCUCCAUAUGACAAGAGCAUGGCCCUAAAAAGACAAAAAAGAAAAAAGGAAAGGCAGUAUAGACUAGUGGUUGAGAAUACCAACCCAAGGGGGCUAGACUGUAGUUGGCACCCCAGUUCAUCGAUUUACAUUAGUCAGAUACCUUAGGUUUUAAUUAUUUGUGUUUCACUCUCCUUGUCUGAAAAAAAUACUUGACUCAUAGGAUUGUGGGGAGAAUUAAAAGAGCUAAUGUAUAGAAAGCACUUAGAGCUUUGUUUGGCACAUGGUAACAGUAUUUGUUGCUGUUGUUGCUAAACUGCAUUGUAGCCAUGCCUGCAGGAAGGAAAAACUAUGGACUGGGGUCUGAUAACUCCCUGAGGGAAAAAUACUGACAUCUCAGAGUUUCUUUCUUGUUGGUGCCACAGCCCUUGUCAGUUAGGUUAUGCUCUAUGCAGAUCUCUAGGUGAUCUUGUAUAUAAUAGUUGUGCCAUAUUCUGGGGCAACUGAGUUCACUGAUUUUCAGCAUCCAACUGGCAGGUAAGGAAAAAGGUUUGUUCGCUCAGGAAUUCUUAGAGAACAGACCUUCUUCCACAUUCCCACGUUCCCACGUUUCAUCAGCUUCAUUACUUCUCCCACAUUUCAUUGGCCAAAGCUGGUGACACGGCCCCACCCAACUGCAGAGGAAACUGGGAAAUGUAGUUUAGCUCUGUGCCCAGGGAGCAGAGAACAGGGAGAUUGGUCAGACGGUGGAUAAACCAAUAGCAAAUCGAUGAUUUUGACUUUGGUUUAUGGUUUCCCUAUGAAGCAUCAGCAUUUUUCGGUUUAAUUUUAAGAAUUAAUGGGAAGAUCUACUCCCUUUUUGGUACACAACACUUAAAUGCUAAUGUUCAUGCACAACAUCAGCUCCGUUGUCUUUCCUGAGUAAAAUAAUAAUAAAAACUAGCAUCUAUGAAGCAUUUACUGUAUACCAUCAUACUAAGCACUUUGCAUGUUAAUUUUAUCAUGUUUAGUAAGAUGAAAUUAAUUUAUUCAGAAUCCACUACAGCCCUUAUGAGGGAGGUACCAGAGUUGUUGGCAUUCGAUGGAUGAAGAAACAGAAUUACAAGGAAGCCAUUAAUCCAAAUGGAAAAAAAAAUGUGAAUUUAUAAGGAAUCACAGGAUUAACAGAGAUUAACAAAAUUGGAUAGAGAGCAAAUUUAAAGUCGUCAACUCCUUUCUUCAUAGGAGACCAAAUCUAGAUACAUAGCAGAAGAUACUUCGUCCAGUAUGGGGUGUUUCCUCUUCCUGAUACAGCACUCAUUAAAUUGUCAUGAGCUGGGUGGUUUGUCAAGACCUAAUACACCCAUGUGUGGAAAAACACACAUCACUGUGUACUUUAUCCUUUGGUUUAUUUUAGUUUAUUUGCUUAGCUAAACAUGGUGUGUUUAUUAUAAAGUUAACCAUGCAGAUGUUGAAUUAGUCUGAAAAAGUCCCCGUAGUGUCUUAACCUGAUAGCUGUUUUAGAUAUUCCUUGAAAAAUCAGUUAGUUCCCUUCCUUAUAUCAGAGCUUACCAUUUUAAUCAGAGAGGUUAAGUAAUCUGAUGUCACUGGCAUCUGCACUUUAAUCUUUUGAGCAUGGCAUUGUAAAGAAAAAGAUAAAAGCACAAUUCUGUGAGCCCCUCUAAAUGGACAGUAUAAAGACUGAUCUUUGAAUCAGGAGCUUAUUGUCUUAAGAGAUUCUACAUGAUCAGUUAAAAUGAGUCAGCUCUCUGCAAUCUUUAUUAACCUCACAGACUGCAAGUCCCUCUAUGAAACUAAGAUAAGCUUGUAAAAGCACUGAAAAAGCUGAGAUUUAAACAGAUGUCAGAUGGCAGCAGCAGAUGUGUAAUAGUACAAAGGGUUUGGAUAGACAUUGGAAUAGCUGAGUAAUUAGAAUUUCUCUGUGCCAUCGUAUCUACUUAAACACUUUUGGCCAAGCCUGAAGACGACUGGGCAGGUGUCCAGUUGCCUGUGGCCUCAUCUGCCUGUUGAAAAAUCUCAGUAUGGCAGCCAAAUAAGGAAAGCACCUCCUCCUGGAUAUUUGGCUCUAUGGCCAUGGGUUUUUUUCUUUUCCAUACUGCCUAGUUUGGGUUUUAUAAAAAUAUGGGGAGAAAUUGGGCUAACCGUCUAAGCUGUCCACGACUAACAGGUGUUUUAUGCUUUUCACCUCUAGAUCUCAGAUUGUUUUCCACUGCGUAAGGUUAUACUUUUUAUGGAGUUGCCGUCGUGGCACAGCAGAAACGAAUCUGACUAGGAACCAUGAGGUUACGGGUUCAAUCCCUGGCCUUGCUCAGUGGGUUAAGGAUCCAGCCUUGCCAAGAGCUGUGGUAUAGGUCGCAGAUGCGGCUCAGAUCUGGCGCUGCUAUGGCUGUGGUGUAGGCCAGCAGCUGCAGGUCCAAUUAAACCCCUAGCCUCCAUAUGCCGUGGGUGUGGCCCUAAAAAGACAAAAAAAAA
rnacentral:lncRNA from 1 species